UACAGAUUGAUUAGAUUGAGUGUCAGAACUCAAUUAAGACCAUCUGAUGAUGGAGCUUGCUUCGGGAAAGGCCUUCAGCAAUGAGUUGUAGUGCUCUCAGGCUGUCCUAGGCUCUACUGAACUUCUCAAAAUAUGACAGCAGGGGAAGUUUAUUUUGAUGACCACCUGUUCUUAGUUGGCUGAUUUUGGCAAGGAUUCCUGCAUUGUCAUGAUACAAUCCCACAGGCUUCAAAUGAAAAUACAGCCUUGAAACUGGAAAUGAAGAAUGAGUAUGAUGAUGUGCUUGAACAAGAAUAUGCUCUGUUGCAGGCACAGAAGGAAGCACUCAAUAGGAAUCACCACUUUAAGCACAAUGACCCUGUUAAGCUUCACUGUCAUGUGUGCUGGAGAAAAAAG